GACGAACGCUGGCGGCGUGCUUAACACAUGCAAGUCGAACGGAAAGGCCCUGCUUUUGUGGGGUGCUCGAGUGGCGAACGGGUGAGUAACACGUGAGUAACCUGCCCUUGACUUUGGGAUAACUUCAGGAAACUGGGGCUAAUACCGGAUAGGAGCUCCUGCUGCAUGGUGGGGGUUGGAAAGUUUCGGCGGUUGGGGAUGGACUCGCGGCUUAUCAGCUUGUUGGUGGGGUAGUGGCUUACCAAGGCUUUGACGGGUAGCCGGCCUGAGAGGGUGACCGGCCACAUUGGGACUGAGAUACGGCCCAGACUCAUACGGGAGGCAGCAGUGGGGAAUAUUGCACAAUGGGCGGAAGCCUGAUGCAGCAACGCCGCGUGCGGGAUGACGGCCUUCGGGUUGUAAACCGCUUUCGCCUGUGACGAAGCGUGAGGGACGGUAAUGGGUAAAGAAGCACCGGCGAACUACGU
rnacentral:rRNA from 1 species